rnacentral:rRNA from 1 species
AUACGUAGGGGGCGAGCGUUAUCCGGAUUUACUGGGUGUAAAGGGAGCGUAGACGGUAAAGCAAGUCUGAAGUGAAAGCUCGGGGCUCAACCCCGGAACUGCUUUGGAAACUGUUUUACUGGAGUGCAGGAGAGGUAAGCGGAAUUUCUAGUGUAGCGGUGAAAUGCGUAGAUAUUAGGAGGAACACCAGAGGCGAAGGCGGCUUACUGGACUGUAACUGACGUUGAGGCUCGAAGGCGUGGGGAGCAAACAGGAUUAGAUACCCUGGUAGUCCACGCGGUAAACGAUGAUCACUAGGUGUCGGCGGCCAUAGGCGGUCGGUGCCGCAGCAAACGCAAUAAGUGAUCCACCUGGGGAGUACGUUCGCAAGAAUGAAACUCAAAUGAAUUGACGGGG